rnacentral:rRNA from 1 species
GGAACCUCUCGGGGUUACAGCCUUGCUGAAUUAUUCACCCUUGUCUUUUGCGUACUUCUUGUUUCCUUGGUGGGUUCGCCCACCACUAGGACAAACAUAAACCUUUUGUAAUUGCAAUCAGCGUCAGUAACAAAUUAAUAAUUACAACUUUCAACAACGGAUCUCUUGGUUCUGGCAUCGAUGAAGAACGCAGCGAAAUGCGAUAAGUAGUGUGAAUUGCAGAAUUCAGUGAAUCAUCGAAUCUUUGAACGCACAUUGCGCCCUUUGGUAUUCCAAAGGGCAUGCCUGUUCGAGCGUCAUUUGUACCCUCAAGCUUUGCUUGGUGUUGGGCGUCUUGUCUCUAGCUUUGCUGGAGACUCGCCUUAAAGUAAUUGGCAGCCGGCCUACUGGUUUCGGAGCGCAGCACAAGUCGCACUCUCUAUCAGCAAAGGUCUAGCAUCCAUUAAGCCUUUUUUUCAACUUUUGACCUCGGAUCAGGUAGG